rnacentral:rRNA from 1 species
UCGAGGGGUAGAGGAAGCUUGCUUCCUUGAGACCGGCGCACGGGUGCGUAACGCGUAUGCAAUCUACCUUGUACAGGGGGAUAGCCCAGAGAAAUUUGGAUUAAUACCCCAUAGUAUUAUUGAAUGGCAUCAUUUAAUUAUUAAAGUUCCAACGGUACAAGAUGAGCAUGCGUCCUAUUAGCUAGUUGGUGUGGUAACGGCACACCAAGGCUACGAUAGGUAGGGGUCCUGAGAGGGAGAUCCCCCACACUGGUACUGAGACACGGACCAGACUCCUACGGGAGGCAGCAGUGAGGAAUAUUGGACAAUGGGCGCAAGCCUGAUCCAGCCAUGCCGCGUGCAGGAAGAAGCAUCUAUGGUGUGUAAACUGCUUUUGUACGGGAAGAAACACUGCUACGUGUAGCAGCUUGACGGUACCGUAAGAAUAAGGAUCGGCUAACUCCGUGCCAGCAGCCGCGGUAAUACGGAGGAUCCAAGCGUUAUCCGGAAUCAUUGGGUUUAAAGGGUCCGUAGGCGGUCUAAUAAGUCAGUGGUGAAAGCCCAUCGCUCAACGAUGGAACGGCCAUUGAUACUGUUAGACUUGAAUUAUUGGGAAGUAACUAGAAUAUGUAGUGUAGCGGUGAAAUGCUUAGAUAUUACAUGGAAUACCAAUUGCGAAGGCAGGUUACUAUCAAUAUAUUGACGCUG